CAGUAGCCACGGUAAUACAGAGGGUGCGAGCGUUAAUCGGAUUUACUGGGCGUAAAGCGUGCGUAGGCGGCUUCUUAAGUCGGAUGUGAAAUCCCUGAGCUUAACUUAGGAAUUGCAUUCGAUACUGGGAAGCUAGAGUAUGGGAGAGGAUGGUAGAAUUCCAGGUGUAGCGGUGAAAUGCGUAGAGAUCUGGAGGAAUACCGAUGGCGAAGGCAGCCAUCUGGCCUAAUACUGACGCUGAGGUACGAAAGCGUGGGGAGCAAACAGGAUUAGAUACCCGAGUAGUCCCUGUCUCUUAUAC
rnacentral:rRNA from 1 species